rnacentral:rRNA from 2 species
UUUCCAGAGAUGGAUUGGUGCCUUCGGGAACUGUGAGACAGGUGCUGCAUGGCUGUCGUCAGCUCGUGUUGUGAAAUGUUGGGUUAAGUCCCGCAACGAGCGCAACCCUUAUCCUUUGUUGCCAGCGAUUAGGUCGGGAACUCAAAGGAGACUGCCAGUGAUAAACUGGAGGAAGGUGGGGAUGACGUCAAGUCAUCAUGGCCCUUACGACCAGGGCUACACACGUGCUACAAUGGCGCAUACAAAGAGAAGCGACCUCGCGAGAGCAAGCGGACCUCAUAAAGUGCGUCGUAGUCCGGAUUGGAGUCUGCAACUCGACUCCAUGAAGUCGGAAUCGCUAGUAAUCGUGGAUCAGAAUGCCACGGUGAAUACGUUCCCGGGCCUUGUACACACCGCCCGUCACACCAUGGGAGUGGGUUGCAAAAGAAGUAGGUAGCUUAACCUUCGGGAGGGCGCUUACCACUUUGUGAUUCAUGACUGGGGUGAAGUCGUAACAAGGUAACCGUAGGGGAACCUGCGGUUGGAUCACCUCCUUACCUGAAAGAAGC